rnacentral:rRNA from 1 species
AUGUACUUCAUGUUGGUCAUGCACAUCAACCUGGCCGACGCCUCCAACCUGCUGACCGACUACAUGGGCACGAGCUACAUGAUCGCGGUGCUCAUCACCGUCUUCGCCGACACCUUUGUGGGCCGGUACCAGACCGUGAUCAUAUCCUCCCUGGUGGAGCUCAUCGGGCUCCUGCUGAUGACGCUGCAAGCUCACUCCCCGAAGCUGCUGCCGGAGGGGUGCAAAUGGCCGGAGCCGACGUGCCAGAGGGUGGGCGGCCACAGCGAGACGCGGCUCUACGUCGGGCUGUACCUGGUGGCGAUCGGGUCGGCGGGCAUCAAGGCGGCGCUGCCGGCGCACUGCGCGGACCAGUUCGAGGCGAAGCACCCCAGGGAGCGGCGCCAGAUGUCCAGCUUCUUCAACUGGCUGCUGCUCAGCUUGUGCAUCGGCGGAGCCGUCAGCGUCACGGUGUUCGUGUGGAUCCAGAACGUCAAGGGCUGGGACAAGGGGUUCGGCGCCGCCACCGGCGUCAUGGGCCUCGCCCUCAUCGCCUUCCUCGCCGGCAUGCCCCGCUACCGCAUCUUCACGGCGCAGGGCAGCAGCGCGCUUCUCGACAUCCUCCGGGUGUACGUUGCUGCGAUCAGGAACCGGAAUCUGCAGCUCCCUGAGAACCCCGACGAGCUGUACGAGAUCAGCAGAAGCAAAGCUUCUCCCGAGGAGGAGUUCGUGUCCCACAGGGACAGGCCAUUCAGGUUCCUGGACAGGGCGGCCAUCGUGCAGGCGCCGGCGGCGGAGGCGCCGAGCCCGUGGCGGCAGUGCCGGGUGACGCACGUGGAGCACGCCAAGACGGUGCUGGCCAUGGUGCCCAUCUUCUGCAGCGCCAUCAUCAUGGGCACCUGCCUGGCCCAGUUCCAGACCUUCUCCAUCCAGCAGGGCUCCACCAUGAACACGUGGGUCGGGGACUUCCAGAUGCAGCCGGCGACGCUGCCCAUCAUCCCGCUGACCAUGCUCAUCUUCGCCGUGCCCAUCUACGAGCGCCUCUUCGUGCCCUUCGCCCGCGGCAUCACGGGCCACCCCAACGGCAUCCCCUACCUGCAGCGCGUCGGCGUCGGCCUCGUGCUCUCCGUCGUCUCCAUGUGCAUCGCCGCCGUCGUGGAGAUGCACCGCAAGAAGGUGGCCGUCCGGCACGGCAUGCUGGACGCGUUCCCGAUGCUGCAGCCGCUGCCCAUGUCCGUCUUCUGGCUGGCCCCGCAGUACGGCGUGUUCGGCAUCGCCGACAUGUUCACCUACAUCGGCCUGCUCGAGUUCUUCUACUCGCAGGCGCCGCCCGCGCUCAAGUCCAUGUCGUCGGCCUUCCUCUGGGCGUCCAUGUCGCUGGGGUACUACUUCAGCACCAUCAUCGUCAAGGCCGUGAACGCGGCCACCAGGAAGCACACGCUGAGCGGCGGCUGGCUCAACGGCAACAACAUCAACCGGAACCACCUCGACCUCUUCUUCUGGCUGCUCGCCGUGCUCAGCUUCAUCAACUUCCUCAACUAUCUCUACUGGGCCAGCUGGUACAAGUACGUCAAGCCCCAGGACGAGGAGGACGAUGCGGUCGCACCGGUGGAGCAGCAAGUGUGA